UACCAUUUUAUUGGAAUUUACUGGGCGUAAAACGCACGCAGGCGGUUUGUUAAGUCAGAUGUGAAAUCCCCGGGUUUAAACUGGGAACUGCAUCUGAUACUGGCAAGCUUGAGUCUCCCCUUAGGGGGGUAGAAUUCCAGGUGUAGCGGUGAAAUGCGUAGAGAUCUGGAGGAAUACCGGUGGCGAAGGCGGCCCCCUGGACGAAGACUGACGCUCAGGUGCGAAAGCGUGGGGAGCAAACAGGAUUAGAUACCCUGGUAGUCCACGCCGUAAACGAUGUCGACUUGGAGGUUGUGCCCUUGAGGCGUGGCUUUCGGAGCUAACGCGUUAAGUCCACCGCCUGGGGAGUACGGCCGCAAGGUUAAAACUCAAAUGAAUUGACGGGGGCCCGCACAACCGGUGGAGCAUGUGGUUUAAUUCCAUGCAACGCGAAGAACCUUACCUGGUCUUGACAUCCACGGAAGUUUUCAGAGAUGAAAAUGUG
rnacentral:rRNA from 1 species